CAUACAGGAUGUUYGAAAGCUCCGGCGGUGCAGGAUGAGCCCGCGGCCUAUCAGCUUGUUGGUGAGGUAAUGGCUCACCAAGGCGACGACGGGUAGCCGGCCUGAGAGGGCGACCGGCCACACUGGGACUGAGACACGGCCCAGACUCCUACGGGAGGCAGCAGUGGGGAAUAUUGCACAAUGGGCGAAAGCCUGAUGCAGCGACGCCGCGUGAGGGAUGACGGCCUUCGGGUUGUAAACCUCUUUCAGCAGGGAAGAAGCGAAAGUGACGGUACCUGCAGAAGAAGCGCCGGCUAACUACGUGCCAGCAGCCGCGGUAAUACGUAGGGCGCGAGCGUUGUCCGGAAUUAUUGGGCGUAAAGAGCUCGUAGGCGGCUUGUCACGUCGGUUGUGAAAGCCCGGGGCUUAACCCCGGGUCUGCAGUCGAUACGGGCAGGCUAGAGUUCGGUAGGGGAGAUCGGAUUUCCUGGUG
rnacentral:rRNA from 1 species